rnacentral:tRNA from 1 species
GCUCAGUUAGUUCAGUUGGCAGAACGCUAGAUAUUUUUUUUUUAUCAUAGAAAUGCAGGUUCGAUUCCUGCACUGGGCU